rnacentral:rRNA from 1 species
GAAACUACAAAGGAAUUGACGGGGACCCGCACAAGCGGUGGAUGAUGUGGUUUAAUUCGAUGCAACGCGAAAAACCUUACCCACCUUUGACAUGUACGGAACUUGCCAGAGAUGGCUUGGUGCUCGAAAGAGAGCCGUAACACAGGUGCUGCAUGGCUGUCGUCAGCUCGUGUCGUGAGAUGUUGGGUUAAGUCCCGCAACGAGCGCAACCCUUGUCAUUAGUUGCUACAUUGAGUUGGGCACUCUAAUGAGACUGCCGGUGACAAACCGGAGGAAGGUGGGGAUGACGUCAAGUCCUCAUGGCCCUUAUAGGUGGGGCUACACACGUCAUACAAUGGCUGGUACAAAGGGUUGCCAACCCGCGAGGGGGAGCUAAUCCCACAAAGCCAGUCGUAGUCCGGAUCGCAGUCUGCAACUCGACUGCGUGAAGUCGGAAUCGCUAGUAAUCGUGGAUCAGAAUGUCACGGUGAAUACGUUCCCGGGUCUU